AUUGAACGCUGGCGGCAUGCCUUACACAUGCAAGUCGAACGGUAACAGGUCUUCGGAUGCUGACGAGUGGCGAACGGGUGAGUAAUACAUCGGAACGUGCCCGAUCGUGGGGGAUAACGCAGCGAAAGCUGUGCUAAUACCGCAUACGAUCUACGGAUGAAAGCGGGGGAUCGCAAGACCUCGCGCGGACGGAGCGGCCGAUGGCAGAUUAGGUAGUUGGUGGGAUAAAAGCUUACCAAGCCGACGAUCUGUAGCUGGUCUGAGAGGACGGCCAGCCACACUGGGACUGAGACACGGCCCAGACUCCUACGGGAGGCAGCAGUGGGGAAUUUUGGACAAUGGGCGCAAGCCUGAUCCAGCCAUGCCGCGUGCAGGAUGAAGGCCUUCGGUUGUAACUGCUUUGUACGGUAACGAAAAAGACUACUCUCUAAUACA
rnacentral:rRNA from 1 species